rnacentral:misc_RNA from 1 species
AGCAGCCGCGGUAAUUCCAGCUCCAAUAGCGUAUAUUAAAGUUGCUGCAGUUAAAAGCUCGUAGUUGAAUUUCGGGACUAAUAUGUCGGUCGUGCCUCGGUACGUACUGGUUUAUUGGUUUCUCCUUUCUGAAGAACCAUGAUGUCAUUUAUUUGGUGUCGUGGGGAAUCAGGACUGUUACUUUGAAAAAUUAGAGUGUUUAAAGCAGGCUCACGCUUGAAUACAUUAGCAUGGAAUAAUGAAAUAGGACGUUUGAUUCUAUUUUGUUGGUUUCUAGGAUCGACGUAAUGAUUAAUAGGGAUAGUUGGGGGCAUUAGUAUACAAUUGUCAGAGGUGAAAUUCUUGGAUUUAUUGAAGACUAACUACUGCGAAAGCAUUUGCCAAGGAUGUUUUCAUUAAUCAAGAACGAAAGUUAGGGAAUCGAAGACGAUCAGAUACCGUCGUAGUCUUAACCAUAAACUAUGCCGACUAGGGAUCGGAUGAUGUUAAUUUUUAUGUACUCAUUCGGCGUCCUUACGGG